AUGAACGCUGGCGGCGUGCCUAAUACAUGCAAGUCGAGCGAACGGACGAGAAGCUUGCUUCUCUGAUGUUAGCGGCGGACGGGUGAGUAACACGUGGAUAACCUACCUAUAAGACUGGGAUAACUUCGGGAAACCGGAGCUAAUACCGGAUGAUAUUUUGAACCGCAUGGUUCAAAAGUGAAAGACGGUCUUGCUGUCACUUAUAGAUGGAUCCGCGCUGCAUUAGCUAGUUGGUAAGGUAACGGCUUACCAAGGCAACGAUGCAUAGCCGACCUGAGAGGGUGAUCGGCCACACUGGAACUGAGACACGGUCCAGACUCCUACGGGAGGCAGCAGUAGGGAAUCUUCCGCAAUGGGCGAAAGCCUGACGGAGCAACGCCGCGUGAGUGAUGAAGGUCUUCGGAUCGUAAAACUCUGUUAUUAGGGAAGAACAUAUGUGUAAGUAACUGUGCACAUCUUGACGAUACCUAAUCAGAAAGCCACGGCUAACUACGUG
rnacentral:rRNA from 1 species